GACGAACGCUGGCGGCGUGCUUAACACACGCAAGUCGAACGAUGAAGGAGAGCUUGCUCUCCGGAUUAGUGGCGAACGGGUGAGUAACACGUGACUAACCUGCCCCUUUCUCUGGGAUAACGCUCCGAAGGGAGUGCUAAUACAGGAUACGAACUCUGAACACAUGUUCGGAGUUGGAAAGUUUUUCGGAAAGGGAUGGAGUCGCGGCCUAUCAGCUUGUUGGUGAGGUAACGUCUCACGAAGGCGACGACGGGUAGCCGGCCUGAGAGGGCGACCGGCCACACUGGGACUGAGACAGGGACCUGACUGCUACGGGAGGCAGCAGUGGGGAAUAUUUCACAAUGGGCGAAAGUCUGAUGCAGCGACGCCGCGUGAGGGAUGAAGGUCUUCGGAUUGUAAACCUCUUUCAGUAGGGACGAAGCGAAAGUGACGGUACCUAAAGAAGAAGCACCGGCUAACUACGUGCCAGCCGCCGCCGUAA
rnacentral:rRNA from 1 species